UACGAAGGGGGCUAGCGUUGCUCGGAAUUACUGGGCGUAAAGCGCACGUAGGUGGUCUUUUAAGUCGGGGGUGGAAAUCCUGGAGCUCAACUCCAGAACUGCCUUCGAUACUGGAAGACUUGAGUCCGGGAGAGGUGAGUGGAACUGCGAGUGUAGAGGUGAAAUUCGUAGAUAUUCGCAAGAACACCAGUGGCGAAGGCGGCUCACUGGCCCGGUACUGACGCUGAGGUGCGAAAGCGUGGGGAGCAAACAGG
rnacentral:rRNA from 1 species